rnacentral:tRNA from 1 species
AGCCCCGUAGUGUAGCGGCCAAUCAUUUCACCCUUUGGAGGUGAAGACCCAGGUUCAAAUCCUGGCGGGGCUA